AACGUAGGAGGCAAGCGUUAUCCGGAGUGACUGGGCGUAAAGAGCGUGUAGGCGGUUGAGUAAGUUGCGCGUGAAAGCGCCCGGCUAAACUGGGCGAGGACAGGCAAGACUUCUGAGCUAGAGGCCGAUAGCGGAGUGCGGAAUUCCGGGUGUAGUGGUGAAAUGUGUAGAGAUCCGGAGGAACACCAGUGGUGCAGACGGCGCCCUGGAUCGGACCUGACGCUGAGACGCGAAAGCGUGGGGAGCGAACGGG
rnacentral:rRNA from 1 species